rnacentral:rRNA from 1 species
UCGGGAAUAUUGCGCAAUGGAGGAAACUCUGACGCAGUGACGCCGCGUAUAGGAAGAAGGUUUUCGGAUUGUAAACUAUUGUCGUUAGGGAAGAUACAAGACAGUACCUAAGGAGGAAGCUCCGGCUAACUACGUGCCAGCAGCCGCGGUAAUACGUAGGUGGCAAGCGUUGUCCGGAAUUACUGGGUGUAAAGGGAGAGUAGGCGGGAUUGCAAGUCCGUUGUUAAAUCUAUCGGCUUAACCGGUAGCUGCGGCGGAAACUGUAGUUCUUGAGUGAAGUAGAGGCAGGCGGAAUUCCUAGUGUAGCGGUGAAAUGCGUAGAUAUUAGGAGGAACACCAGUGGCGAAGGCGGCCUGCUGGGCUUUAACUGACGCUGAGGCUCGAAAGUGUGGGGAGCAAACAGGAUUAGAUACCCUGGUAGU